UGGGGAAUUUUGGACAAUGGGCGCAAGCCUGAUCCAGCCAUACCGCGUGAGUGAAGAAGGCCUUCGGGUUGUAAAGCUCUUUCAGACGGAAAGAAACGGUUGCGGCUAAUACCCGUGACUAAUGACGGUACCGUAAGAAGAAGCACCGGCUAACUACGUGCCAGCAGCCGCGGUAAUACGUAGGGACCAAGCGUUGUUCGGAUUUACUGGGCGUAAAGGGCGCGUAGGCGGCAUGACAAGUCACUUGUGAAAUCUCUGGGCUUAACCCAGAACGGCCAAGUGAUACUGUCGCGCUAGAGUGCAGAAGGGGCAAUCGGAAUUCUUGGUGUAGCGGUGAAAUGCGUAGAUAUCAAGAGGAACACCUGAGGUGAAGACGGGUUGCUGGGCUGACACUGACGCUGAGGCGCGAAAGCCAGGGGAGCAAACGGGAUUAGAUACCCAUGUAGUCCCUGAGCGGGCUGGCAAGGCGCAU
rnacentral:rRNA from 1 species